GACGAACGCUGGCGGCGUGCUUAACACAUGCAAGUCGAACGGAAAGGCCCUGCUUUUGUGGGGUGCUCGAGUGGCGAACGGGUGAGUAACACGUGAGUAACCUGCCCUUGACUUUGGGAUAACUUCAGGAAACUGGGGCUAAUACCGGAUAGGAGCUCCUGCUGCAUGGUGGGGGUUGGAAAGUUUCGGCGGUUGGGGAUGGACUCGCGGCUUUUCUGCUUGUUGGUGGGGUAGUGGCUUACCAAGGCUUUGACGGGUAGCCGGCCUGAGAGGGUGACCGGCCACAUUGGGACUGAGAUACGGCCCAGACUCCUACGGGAGGCAGCAGUGGGGAAUAUUGCACAAUGGGCGGAAGCCUGAUGCAGCAACGCCGCGUGCGGGAUGACGGCCUUCGGGUUGUAAACCGCUUUCGCCUGUGACGAAGCGUGAGUGACGGUAAUGGGUAAAGAAGCACCGGCUAACUACGUG
rnacentral:rRNA from 1 species